UGGGUGAUAUUGCACAAUGGGCGAAAGCCUGAUGCAGCGACGCCGCGUGGGGGAUGAAGGCUUUCGGGUUGUAAACCUCUUUCGCUAUCGAACAAGGCCCGCUUAGGGUGGGUUGAGGGUAGGUGGAGAAGAAGCGCCGGCUAACUACGUGCCAGCAGCCGCGGUAAUACGUAGGGCGCGAGCGUUGUCCGGAAUUAUUGGGCGUAAAGGGCUUGUAGGCGGCUUGUUGCGCCUGCUGUGAAAACGCGGGGCUUAACUUCGCGCGUGCAGUGGGUACGGGCCGGCUUGAGUGUGGUAGGGGUGACUGGAAUUCCAGGUGUAGCGGAGGAAUGCGCAGAUAUCUGGAGGAACACCGAUGGCGAAGGCAGGUCACUGAGCCAUUACUGACGCUGAGGAGCGAAAGCAUGGGUAGCGAACAGG
rnacentral:rRNA from 1 species